AGUGUACAGAUUUCCUUCUAAUACCAUGAACCCAAGUUGGAAGAAGGGAAGGAUAUUGGUAAUCACCAGAUCAACAACUACAUGUUCAAUAAUUUAGAUUCUGUGUAGAUGACCUCGUGUUGAGGUCUUUGAUCCAUCUGAAGUUGAAUUUUCUGCACAGUGGACUCGGACCUUACAUUGCAGAAGAUGACCUUCUUGGACUCCUUGACUUCCAAGAGUGAACAAGGACAUCUCAUCAUCUUGGUCAAAAGUGUCCCUACACCUGGCGUCUAGUCUAGAGAUUCCUGCACAUAGUAUAUUGCUUCUCAUAGGGACAAAGUUCUUUUCCCAGAGCUCAUUCACGUUGAGGGGCUCAAAUCAGCCUGACUCCAAGAGAUCUCAUGCCCUCUUGGCCUCUGUGAACACCUUCACUCAUGUGUACAUAUCAACA